GUGAGGAAUAUUGGGCAAUGGGCGAAAGCCUGAUCCAGCAAUGCCGCGUGCAGGAAGAAGGCCUUCGGGUUGUAAACUGCUUUUGUACGGAACGAAACGGUCCGGGUUAAUACCCUGGGCUAAUGACGGUACCGUAAGAAUAAGCACCGGCUAACUACGUGCCAGCAGCCGCGGUAAUACGUAGGGUGCAAGCGUUAAUCGGAAUUACUGGGCGUAAAGCGUGCGCAGGCGGUUUCGUAAGACAGGCGUGAAAUCCCCGGGCUCAACCUGGGAAUUGCGCUUGUGACUGCAAGGCUGGAGUGCGGCAGAGGGGGAUGGAAUUCCGCGUGUAGCAGUGAAAUGCGUAGAUAUGCGGAGGAACACCGAUGGCGAAGGCAAUCCCCUGGGCCUGCACUGACGCUCAUGCACGAAAGCGUGGGGAGCAAACAGGAUUAGAAACCCUAGUAGUCC
rnacentral:rRNA from 1 species